AGAAGACCUGAAGCUCGCUGCCCGCGAGUUUCCUCCGAGUUCCCAGGUCAGCGGCGUUUGCGCUCCUCUCCCCCUCCUUUUCCCAGCCCGUUGCGCUUAAGUUCUUGAGUCUGGGGAGCCGGUUCAGUAACUCUGAAUUCAUUUUUAAGUGGCGUGCCCUGUUCCCCACCUUUUAACAAGAGGUGCACUUUAACACGCGAACCAGUAACACGAUCUACACGUUUACAAAUCGGCAAUGAAUUAAAACAACAACAGAAAAGCUUCAUGGAAAAAGAAAGUUGCUGAGACAAAGGAAAACCCACUCCCUUGGAGGAGCAUGACCUUUUCCUGUAAUUCUUCCCACUGCUGUUGUUGAGCUCCUUGGAUCCUGGCUCCUGGACACCAUCAUCAAGAAGACUUUAUGGAUGGGCUGUCCACCCACUGAGAGAAGAGGAGCAUCAGCUACAGUUUCUCUCUAGAUUGCCUUCUUCAUUUUGAGUAAUGACUGUCAGCAGGGUCAGAUUAAACACAAAACAACUGGACAAUUGCUUGGAGGACUAAACUAUAAGGGCACUAACAUGUCAAUAGUAGGCUAACACAUCCAUGGAAAAUAUAUUUACCAGCUCUUCUCUCAGGGAGGAUUCUGUGUGGGGUUGGAAGUAAUGAUUUGUUAAAUUCCUUAGGGGUAGAAAGUAGGGCAUAAUCAGAAUAUAGAGGAAUAUGCUGUUUGACUUCAGGGUUUCUGUUUUUCUUACUAGGAUAUAUAAAACAGGGACUCUAGCUAGAUUGUUUAUGACCACAGAGGGUAGGCUGAGUGCUCCCAUGAUCUUCCUGCUUGGUUCUUGCCCAUACAGAGGUCAGCCUUUCCUCUAAUAAAGAUUGAACAAGUAGUGGUCUGAGGGAGACACCAAUUCAUUACCCUACAUGUCUCUUCUCUGCACUCCAGGGCUUUGAUAAUAAAGACACUGGCAGACUAUCUAUCUUCCAUUUCUAUAAUGUGAGCCCUUAGGGAGUCUUCGUUCACUUGGGGGUGAGGGUCAUUGCUCACAGAGUAGUUCAAGUCAAAUGGAACUUGAACUCUUUGCCUAUGGGCCUGGUGGUCAGACUCUGUGUUGAGUUCAUUAGAUUAUUGGAGACACAAGGUAGAGCUGGAUGCUUCAAAAAUAUUUGGCUAAAGGAUGACAUUGCUGGUUAUUUGUAGAUAAAGCCAUGAUGGAACCUGCUUGGAAUCAUGAAAUAUGGAACUGGUGGUCAUGUUUAAAAAUACAACUAAUAGUUAAGUACCUACUGGACACUGUAGAGACUUAGGGGCUAGACAGACAUGGUUCCUGCCCCCUUGGAGCUUACACUGUAGCUUCCCCUUAGGUAUGAAGAACAGUGGCUACAACUAACAAAUGGCCACAAAGAUAUAAUUGAGCCAGUGUUCCAAUUAUUAGGGUAAUUCCUAUUUCCUUAAUCAUUCCUAUUGACCAUGUUCUAUAAGCCUGCAUUCUAUAAAUGGCGUAUGACCAUGGGCUGUUUCCCCCCAGCAAGUUGUACAAAGUUCUGUGGUACCAGGGAAAGGGCUUAAGGUUAGCAGGGCCUCUGCGGAAGGACAUAUGAAGUGACUUGGGUUAGGAAACAGGAAGGGAUAGGAUUCAAGAACAGCUAUUGCUUCUGUUCUAUAUAGGAAACUGCAGCGUGAAAAAUGCUGGGCUGGGAAUUUUGAGACCUGGGUUUUAGUUUGUGUUCUAAUACUAACAAGCUAUGUGACUGUGGGUAAGUCAUUUCACAUUCCAUUUGGAUGCCUCUUGAGUGACUCCAGGCCUCUCCAGCUCUAAAACAUUAAGAUCAGGCCCUACGCUACAGCUGGCCAGUGUGUAAUUCUUCUGUUUCUAUGCUGUUAGGUCAAAUAGAUCUUCAAUAGUUACUUGAUUGUUAUUACUUUUUUCUGAAGUGGGUGUUUUAUCAAUGUUUUAGGAUACAGUGAGUCUGCUUCUCCCCUUUGGAGUUAGGAAGGUUGUAGGAAUAUACACUGUAGAGCAUAUGGGAGCUUUAUCCCCUCCUUUUUUCCCCGCUACCUUUCUCCCUCUCCUUCCCUUCAUCACAUUUCUAUUGAGCAUAUGCCAUUGCCGUGUACCAGGUGUGUGCUAGGUUUGGAGAUACAAGGUAAACCUGAGACUUUCCCAGUCUCCAGGAGACAAAACCCUAAUUUCUUUCAUCUGCUGUCUUUCUCUUUGGAAAGAAUCAACGAUAUCCCAGGGGAAUGUGCCCAUGUCCCAGGGUAACCAACUACAGACAGAUGCCCCAUUCUACUCAAGCAACUUUUAGAGUGCCUUGAGAUACACAUCAGAUAAUUAUGCAGGGCCAGGCAUGGUGCUGCACACUUGUAAUCACAGCACUUUGGGAGGCCGAGGCAGCAGAUUGCUUGAGCCCAGGAAUUCAAGUGUAGCCUAGGGAACAUGGCAAAACCCCAGCUCUACAAAAAAAUACACAAAUUAGCUGCGUGUGGUGGCCUAUGACAGGAGGCUGAGAUGGGAGGAUUGCUUGAGCCUGUGAGGUCGAGGCUGCAGUGAGCCGAGAUCAUGCCAUUACUCCAGCCUGGGUGACAUAGGGAGACCCUGUCUUGAAAAAAAAAAAAAAAAGAUAAUUAUUCAGCCCUAGAGUCAUUGUGAAAAGAUCUAUCUUCAGAUAUAAGGAAGAAACAAUCUUUUAUUUCUUAGGAUAAAUCUGUAGAAGGACCUCCAGACAGUGAAGGCCACUGACUACUUUAUACUCUGUAAGCCAUCCCUCCCUGGUAGGAAGGACUAUUUCCAAUCUUACAGAGUACCUCUCAGCAAAUAGACGUUUUCACAUAUACUGUGAUUCAUACAUCCCUAUGGCUGGUGACCUCUUUAAAAAGGAAAGGAAAAAGCCUAAUCAAACAAAAAGAUGCUGCUAGUAAUUCUUACCCUAUUGUGAAUCCUAUAUAAGCAAAUUUGUAUCUUUGUUUUUUCCUACAUUAGCAGAUCUAUUUGAUGUAUAUCUCUGAGUGCAGAAAAUAUUUUAUGGAAAAAUCAAUAUAUGGAAUUUCAAAUUCAGAAUUGCUGAUACACACUAUUUGGUUUCACAAUUUUAUCCUAGGAAAUAGUAUUAGAGAUUUCAAUUUCUGGCUUAAAUGGUAGAAUUAAUUACUCUUAACUCUUAAUUUUACUUCUGAGUUGAGGUCAAGGAACAGGCAGACACCUGCAGUUAACGUCUAUACCUCUCCAUGGCCAAGAGUUUUAAUUUUCUCGUCUUCAAUUUUGUAGAUGUUCAUCAUUACUAAAUGGAUUGAUUAGUAUUUUAUCUCCUCUCCUUGUCCUUACUUUCCCUCUGGUAAAUAUGUUAUAAACAGUGUAAGGCUCCUAAGAUAGAGUAGCUGGUAGGACUUAGAAGAGAAACAAAGGGCACUGAUAACUCACAUAAAUGGAAAAUUGGCUCUGGAAUAACUGACAACAUAUUCAAGUAUUUUAGUGCAGUGUCACUCUCAUUAAGAAGAAGAGAAUCAGUAAAUCUAUGUGACUCUAAACAUUCUAAUGAAAAAAGGAAUAUUCUGCCAAUUAUCUCACAUUUCUAAAUAUCUGGAUAUUGGCCAUUGUAAAGACAAAACAUACAGAUGAUGGACUUGUCUUUCCACCUCUCAUUUGCAUGGUUUGGAGCAUUGUACCUCCAGCCAUAGACUCUAAGGCAAUUUAUAUUUGCUUCCUCUUCCCUCUUGAGAGAAAACGAAAAUCUUAUUUUUCCAAGCAAUUAAAACUCUUCUGCUUCAGCUAGGAUGAAAGAAUUAGGAGUUCUGUCUCCUUGUAUCUAAUUGCAUGUUUCAUCUUUCUUGUUUUAAUGAUUGACAGAAAACUAAUAAACUGAGACAUCUUUGAAUCCAGGUUGAAUGUACUCUCUUGGUGGCCCCAUUGCUAAUUUGUUUGACUAUUUUGCAGGAUUUCUUACUCUGUAAUGGAAAGGUUUAUUAAAUAUGAGGGGUGCAAAGCUUUCUGAAUACUA
ensembl:lncRNA DLX6-AS1 DLX6 antisense RNA 1